CAUUUUAUGUAUGUAAGUCAAUAAUAUAAUAUAUAAUAAUAAUAAUCGUAUAAAAACCCUAUUAGAAAUAUCAAGUGUUCCUUCAGAGCCGGGAGUAAUUUUUUCCAUUAUGACCAACAACAAAUCAGUAGCUGCCAAAUCGAGCUGACCUACCAGAGUUGCCAUAUCAUCUGCUGCCGAAUUGGAGAUCACAAAGAAAGCACCUCAUAUAACUAAUCGGUAAAGCCGGUGGAGUAAUAGCAGAGCUGACGAAUAGAUCAUCAAACAAAGAUGAUAGCAACGGACCAUUUAAAGGGCUCCUUGGAUUUUCUCUGGAUAUGUGAGCUAGCCAAAAAGAAAUAGAUUGCUUAAGGCACUUGGAGCUGCAUCAAAGCACAACGCCUCGCCAAAAAAGGACGAGGGAUUGCAGCCGUUGGUUUCGGAUUUGACGCUUUUAAAUGUAAUCUAACUAAACCUUACUACAAUAAUAUUUACCAUGUGCUCAAUUAUCAUCAA